rnacentral:rRNA from 1 species
GACGAACGCUGACGGCGUGCUUAACACAUGCAAGUCGAACGGUAAGGCCCUUCGGGGUACACGAGUGGCGAACGGGUGAGUAACACGUGGGUGAUCUACCCUGCACUUCGGGAUAAGCCUGGGAAACUGGGUCUAAUACCGGAUAGGACCACUGCCUGCAUGGGUGGUGGUGGAAAGCUUUUGCGGUGUGGGAUGGGCCCGCGGCCUAUCAGCUUGUGGGUGGGGUGAUGGCCUACCAAGGCGACGACGGGUAGCCGGCCUGAGAGGGUGACCGGCCACACUGGGACUGAGAUACGGCCCAGACUCCUACGGGAGGCAGCAGUGGGGAAUAUUGCACAAUGGGCGCAAGCCUGAUGCAGCGACGCCGCGUGAGGGAUGACGGCCUUCGGGUUGUAAACCUCUUUCAGCACCGACGAAGCGCAAGUGACGGUAGGUGCAGAAGAAGGACCGGCCAACUACGUGCCAGCCGCCGCGGUAA